rnacentral:rRNA from 2 species
AACGCUGGCGGCAGGCCUAACACAUGCAAGUCGAACGAGAAGCUACCUUCGGGUAGUGGAUAGUGGCAGACGGGUGAGUAACGCGUGGGAACGUGCCUUUCGGUUCGGAAUAACUCAGGGAAACUUGGGCUAAUACCGGAUACGCCCUUCGGGGGAAAGAUUUAUCGCCGAAAGAUCGGCCCGCGUCAGAUUAGCUUGUUGGUGAGGUAAUGGCUCACCAAGGCGACGAUCUGUAGCUGGUCUGAGAGGAUGAUCAGCCACACUGGGACUGAGACACGGCCCAGACUCCUACGGGAGGUAGCAGUGGGGAAU